ACCCCUAAAGUCAAUUUGGCUUAUCUUUAUUUUGCUGCAUCUAAAGUCCAGCAGCUCACUUUCCUCUUUCUGUACUCCUUUUUCCCCUUUCUUUGUUCUUCUUUCCUCUUCCCUUCUUACACGGCAACAUCUCUCUCUUCCUUUCUCACCAAAAAUUCUAGUUUCUUUAAAGAAGAAAUUAAACAAUUAGCCUUAAGGUUUCAUCUUCAAAGUGUGUGGGUGGCGAGAACGAGAACACGGACACUUGAGCUCCUCGUGUACCAUCUCUCGCGCCUUCUGUUUUCAGUGCACAGGUUCUUCGUGGAAGCAACGAGAGUAUUAGAGGUGGCAAGAAUUCUGUGUUUUCUCGUUUGUUAGAAUGUAGAGUUUUGUUGUAUAGCAGUUUGCUCUUUUGUUGUAUAGAAGGAAUCAAGAUGUACUUGACCCUUUGAACACAGAUGUAAUUCGGUACCUUAGUUUGUUUUGAACCCCAGUUGUAUGUCUUUGGGGUUAGGUUUGUAAUAAGAGUUUUCGCUAAACGUUUAGCUAUGUAAUAUUUCAUGAAUACCUUAA